GAUGAACGCUGGCGGCGUGCUUAACACAUGCAAGUCGAACGAGUGGCGAACGGGUGAGUAACACGUGGGUGAUCUGCCUUGUACUUCGGGAUAAGCCGGGGAAACUGGGUCUAAUACCGGAUAUUACGAGAUGAGCCCGCGGCCUGUCAGCUUGUUGGUGGGGUAAUGGCUACCAAGGCGCGCCGGGUAGCCGGCCUGAGUGGGUGUACGGCCACGUUGGGACUGAUACACGGCCCAGAAGCCGACGAGAGGCAGCAGUGGGGAAUAUUGCACACGGGGCGGGAGCCUGAUGCGGCGACGCCGCGUGAGGGGUAACGGCCUUCGGGUUGUAAAGCACUUGCGCUAGGGAAGCGGUACCUGGAUAAGAAGCACCGGCUAACUACGUGCCAGCCGCCGCGGUAAUUC
rnacentral:rRNA from 1 species